rnacentral:rRNA from 1 species
UACAGAGGGUGCAAGCGUUGUUCGGAAUUAUUGGGCGUAAGGCGCGUGUAGGCGGCUUUGCAGGUCGGGUGUGAAAGCCCUCAGCUCAACUGAGGAAGUGCGCCCGAAACUGCAGAGCUUGAGUGCCGGAGAGGGUGGCGGAAUUCCCCAAGUAGAGGUGAAAUUCGUAGAUAUGGGGAGGAACACCGGUGGCGAAGGCGGCCACCUGGACGGUAACUGACGCUGAGACGCGAAAGCGUGGGGAGCAAACAGG